UAGGCGUAAAUGAUGCGAGUUAAGUGUGGGGGCAUCUACGAGAUGGCCCUGUGCUGUAGGGUAGCCGUUAAACUCGCUGCCUGGGGAGUACGGUCGCAAGGCUGAAACUUAAAGGAUUGGCGGGGGAGCACCACAAGAGGUGGAGGCUGCGGUUCAAUUGGACUCAACGCCGGAAACUCAUCGGGAGCGACAGCAGUAUGAUUGCCAGGUUGAUGACCUUGCUUGACAAGCUGAGAGGUGGUGCAUGGCGUAGUCGUGU
rnacentral:rRNA from 1 species